GGGAUAUGAAAUCACGUGAACAGCGUUCUGAGUACAUGUCUGUACCCGUAAUUUUCAUAAUCCAAG
rnacentral:miRNA from 1 species